AACGAGACCUUAACCUGCUAAAUAGCCAGGCUGGCUUUGGCUGGUCGCCGGCUUCUUAGAGGGACUAUCGGCUCAAGCCGAUGGAAGUUUGAGGCAAUAACAGGUUGACCUUUAUCACAGGCCUGUAAAAGCG
rnacentral:rRNA from 1 species